UAUUGGUCAAUGGACGCGAGUCUGAACCAGCCAAGUAGCGUGAAGGAUGACUGCCCUAUGGGUUGUAAACUUCUUUUAUAUGGGAAUAAAGUUUUCCACGUGUGGAAUUUUGUAUGUACCAUAUGAAUAAGGUUCGCCUAACCCCGUUCCAGCAGCCGCGGUAAUACGGAAGAUCCGAGCGUUAUGCGGAUUUAUUGGGUUUAAAGGGAGCGUAGGUGGAUUGUUAAGUCAGUUGUGAAAGUUUGCGGCUCAACCGUAAAAUUGCAGUUGAAACUGGUAGUCUUGAGUACAGUAGAGGUGGGCGGAAUUCGUGGUGUAGCGGUGAAAUGCUUAGAUAUCACGAAGAACUCCGAUUGCGAAGGCAGCUCACUAGACUGCAACUGACACUGAUGCUCGAAAGUGUGGGUAUCAAACAG
rnacentral:rRNA from 1 species